AAUAGAUACCCCGGUAGUCCACGCCGUAAACGAUGAGUGCUAAGUGUUAGAGGGUUUCCGCCCUUUAGUGCUGCAGCUAACGCAUUAAGCACUCCGCCUGGGGAGUACGGCCGCAAGGCUGAAACUCAAAGGAAUUGACGGGGGCCCGCACAAGCGGUGGAGCAUGUGGUUUAAUUCGAAGCAACGCGAAGAACCUUACCAGGUCUUGACAUCCUCUGACACUCCUAGAGAUAGGAUUUUCCCCUUCGGGGGACAGAGUGACAGGUGGUGCAUGGUUGUCGUCAGCUCGUGUCGUGAGAUGUUGGGUUAAGUCCCGCAACGAGCGCAACCCUUGAUCUUAGUUGCCAGCAUUCAGUUGGGCACUCUAAGGCGACUGCCGGUGACAAACCGGAGGAAGGUGGGGAUGACGUCAAAUCAUCAUGCCCCUUAUGACCUGGGCUACACACGUGCUACAAUGGAUGGUACAAAGGGCUGCAAGACCGCGAGGUUUAGCCAAGUCCCAUAAAAACCGAUUCUCAGUUCGGAUUGC
rnacentral:rRNA from 1 species